UACGGGGGGGGCAAGCGUUGUUCGGAAUUACUGGGCGUAAAGGGCCCGUAGGCGGCCAACUAAGUCAGACGUGAAAUCCCCAGGCUCAACCUGGGAACUGCGUCUGAUACUGGAUGGCUUGAAUCCGGGAGAGGGAUGCAGAAUUCCAGGUGUAGCGGUGAAAUGCGUAGAUAUCUGGAGGAACACCGGUGGCGAAGGCGGCAUCCUGGACCGGCAUUGACGCUGAGGCGCGAAAGCUAGGGGAGCAAACGGG
rnacentral:rRNA from 1 species